UAUUUCAAGGACCCUGGGAAAUGGGUGGAGAUCUCCGAAUGUGAAAAAUCUUCAGGAGACUGGAAGUGUUUUGAAGUUGAAGGUUACGGUUCUUUCUCAUUUUGUUUCAAAACAGGACCCCCAUUUCCCUUACUGUAGGAUUCGAGGAGACAAGAGGAGGAAAGGGGUGUCAGGGUCAGAGCCGCCUCGAAGGCGACGAGAAGCAGAAGCGCAGGCCUGCGAGGUGCUCUUCAGAGUGACUUCGCUGUGGGCUGCGGAAGGCAACAGAAGGAACUCGGCUUCCACUGGCCACGUUCCCCUCCCCGGAGCGGAGGACACAGGCCGGUUUCUUCAGGCAGCGGCUCCAGCCAGCUCCGCCCCACAGGGAAGGAGCGCGCAGCUCCCACACCCCGCAGGCGGCGCUGACAGACUCCGCCUUCCCGGAGCGCAGGCGUGUGGGGGGCGCCGCCCUCGUCGCCGUCGGGCGCCCCGCAGGCCCGUGACCUUCUGCCUGGUUCUCCCGCCUCUGCAAGCCUCGCCUUCAGGACUCCGCCUCGCCGUCCUCUUUUCUGUCGGGAGACUCACGGGGCCGUCUGUCUGGACGACGUGUGCACAUUUCUCACCACGAUUCCUCUGCACACCAGGUCCCGGCACCGCCGCGCUGGGGUCGGCACAGCUGAAUUGCGCGGGCAGCGAAGGGGCCUCAGGGGGACCGCUCAGCUCCCUGAGGGCGCAGCCCGCCUGGUCCGGGGGCGAAGAAUGAACUUCCGCGGUUUUCAGUGACCCAGUUUGUGGCCCGGCACAUGCUGAAAAGUUGCAGAUAAGAAACCUGGGAAGCCACAAGAAAGCCAAGUAGCCUAGGAAAAAGUGAGCAUUGAGCCACAAGCAAAAAAUAACAGUCGAUCCUGUUGGUGCCACCUGACAGCAGAGACAGCUGAGGACCCCCGAGCGUGAGUCCAGAGAGCUGCCCGGCAGCCCCACCCUGCCUUUCCAGGAUGAGUCUUCUCUGGGAAGCCACUGCUCAUUCGGAAGGUGAAGAAUGCCAGAGUUUCCAACACCAACCCCAGCUCUGCUGACCUCUCAGAACGGCAGGACCACGCGUGACGGAACACCAGGCAGGGGAGAGUCAAAUAUACAAGCAAAAAACUGCAAUUGGCAUUUCCCAUGUGACGCUGCGUGUUGAGGGCUCAUCUGCUUCUCAUCCAGGAUGAUGUUUCCAGCUUCAUCUUUGAUCUUAACCCUCCCGGAGGCGUACUUGGUUUCCUGACAGCCGCUGCAAUACACAGUCUUGAUGGUGCCAUCUGGGUACUCCCUUCUCUUGAACUGGGCCGUGUGGAUUUCUUUCUGCCCGUUGCUGAGCACAAUGGUUUUGUCGCCAUUCCUGAGAAGAGAAACACGUGGAAGGGCAGUGUGCGCCAGGGCCAAUGCUGCUAGUGUGGAGGCCAGUAGGGGGUGGGGGAGUACCGAAUAAUGGCCCCACCUGGGGCCCUUCUUCCAAAGCUCGUUAGAUGGGGGUGCAGAAGGCCACGGGCAGUGGCAGGAAAGGUGCACGGUGGGCUCAGGGCAUCAGCAGAAACUUGGUGUGGGUGAGAGAGGGCAAGUGUGGAGGACCAGGAGGCAGGGCGGGAGGUCAGCCGUGUCUGCUCACCUGCAGGCUGAAGCCUGUGCUGACAGCUGGCUCUGACGGUGAGAGGGACGGUAGGGUUAACACAGGGAGUGACAGGGACACACAUAGAAUCAUUUCAGAAAAGUGGCCCCGGACGUGACAGGGAAGAUUCUGACUGCUGUGAGGAAGCUGGGGGAGUCUGUUGUAAUUGCCCAGGAGAGAAAUGGUGAGAGCGGGAGACUGCAGAACUCAGAGAAAGGUUGGAGGUGGGGCAGCAAGGAGACACAGCCCACAGUGCUCACUCAGUGGUCACUUGAAUAUCAGGAAAGAAAGGGAAGGUCUAAAACAACAUCCCAUGCCCUCCCUUGGGCAGCUGGGUGGAUCUUUACUUUCUGCACAAACUAGCAUUGAAAUAGCAGCUCUGAUGAGCUCUUCCUUGUUGUGCCUUAAACAUUUGCUUGCACGUGUUCUGCAAUGGACUUGGGCUUCUAGACCACGUGGUCUGAGGUGAGCACUGAAGACUGGAGUGUAUUUUUACGGUUAUAAUUCAAACACAGCUAAUGUCAGUAAAGUAAAUACCUGAAAGUCCAUUUGAAACUCACAGUCUCUAUAAAGGGAUUCAAAUCAAGGCCAUAAGACAAAACUUCUGGAGUCAAUGACAUUAUUAUUAUUUUUUUUAAUACAAGCACUUAAAUGUUUGCAAAAAUCUAAAUUAAUAUAAGGAAAUUAUUAAAUACACAAACAAAAACUGGGGAUGUUUCGGGUUCGCAUUGUCUGACAUUACUGACCUUUCCACCCUUACGAUUGUCCCAUCAGGAAAUAAGGUCUCUUCCUGUCCAUCCUUGAGAUGUUUCACUGUCCCGUCGGGAAACACAAUUUCUUUGGAGCCAUCGGGGUAGAAUUUUUCUGCAGAAUGCAGUUUUUAAGUUUUUCAGCUGGAUAAUAAAUCGUAAGAAAGAGCCAUAAUUCACCCUCUACGGCAUCCUCCAGGGAUGAUUAACAGUGAUUUUCACCUUGCACUGGAGACAGAACCCUUGACGCAGAGGAACUCGCUGUGGAGCCUGCUGAAAUACUGCUGCACUGUGCCUAUUUCAUUAUAGGAACAGGAACGUGAUUACAGUGCCUGCAUGUGGGGUACACGCACAGCUGCUUGAUGUGUUUGUGAAAAAAGGAAAGCUGCCAAAUUAAACUUAAUUGAUGAGUUUCCA